AAGAAGGCCUUCGGGUUGUAAAGCACUUUCAAUGGGGAAGAAUUUAAUUUUGAUAAUACCAAUUUUAAUUGACGUUACCCAUACAAGAAGCACCGGCUAACUCCGUGCCAGCAGCCGCGGUAAUACGGAGGGUGCAAGCGUUAAUCGGAAUUACUGGGCGUAAAGCGUACGUAGGUGGUUCGUUAAGUCAGAUGUGAAAUCCCUAAGCUCAACUUAGGAACUGCAUUUGAAACUGGCAAGCUAGAGUUUCGUAGAGGGGGGUAGAAUUCCAGGUGUAGCGGUGAAAUGCGUAGAGAUCUGGAGGAAUACCAGUGGCGAAGGCGGCCCCCUAGACUAAAACUGACACUCAAGUACGAAAGCAUGGGGAGCAAACAGGAUUAGAUACCCUGGUAGUCCAUGCCGUAAACGAUGUCGAUUUGAAGGUUGCAGACUUGAUCUGUGGCUUUCGAAGCUAACGCGUUAAAUCGACCGCCUGGGGAGUACGACCGCAAGGUUAAAACUCAAAUGAAUUGACGGGGGCCCGCACAAGCGGUGGAGCAUGUGGUUUAAUUCGAUGCAACACGAAGAACCUUACCUACUCUUGACAUCCAAAGAAUCACAUAGAAAUAUGAGAGUGCCUUCGGGAACUUUGAGACAGGUGCUGCAUGGCUGUCGUCAGCUCGUGUUGUGAAAUGUUGGGUUAAGUCCCGCAACGAGCGCAACCCUUAUCCUUUGUUGCCAACGAGUAAAGUCGGGAACUCAAAGGAGACUGCCGGUGAUAAACCGGAGGAAGGUGAGGAUGACGUCAAGUCAUCAUGGCCCUUAU
rnacentral:rRNA from 1 species